AUUUCUUUUACUUUUGCUAACUCUAGCAAUCACUCUCUUUACUUUUCUUUUACCAUCUUUAGCGUUCCUGUUCUUUACAUUUCUCGUUCUUAUUGCCCCUCUUUACUUUAACUUUACACAUUGUCAUUUUCAUCAUUCUUUACAUUACUUUGGUUCUUUGGCUCACACUAACUCUAGUGUCACUUUACUUUACGUUUUCAAAUGCCACUCGAUCUAUGUCAUUGUGCCACUCUGUUCUUUUGCUCACUUUGGGUGC
rnacentral:lncRNA from 1 species